rnacentral:rRNA from 1 species
AUUGAACGCUGGCGGCAUGCCUUACACAUGCAAGUCGAACGGUAACGCGGGGCAACCUGGCGACGAGUGGCGAACGGGUGAGUAAUGUAUCGGAACGUGCCCAGUUGUGGGGGAUAACUGCUCGAAAGAGCAGCUAAUACCGCAUACGACCUGAGGGUGAAAGCGGGGGAUCGCAAGACCUCGCGCAGUUGGAGCGGCCGAUAUCAGAUUAGGUAGUUGGUGGGGUAAAGGCUCACCAAGCCAACGAUCUGUAGCUGGUCUGAGAGGACGACCAGCCACACUGGGACUGAGACACGGCCCAGAAUCCUACGGGAGGCAGCACUUGGGAAUUUUGGAUAAUGAGGGCAACCCUGAUCCAGCCAAGCUGCGUGCGGGAAGUAGGCGUUCGGGUUGUAAACCGCUUUUGUAAGGGAAGAAAAGACUCCUGUUAAUACCGGGGGUUAAUGUCGGUACCUGAAGAAUAAGCACCGGCUAACUACGUGCCAGCCGCCGCCGUAA